GAGGUGCAGCUGGUGGAAUCUGGAGGCAGCUUGGGACAGCCUGGAGGGUCCACUAAACUCUCUUGUGAAGAAGCAUCUGGAUUCACUUUCAGUGAUCAUUGGAUGGACUGGUUUCGCCAAGCCCCAGGCAUGAGGCUAGAAUGGUUAGCAAAUACAAACCAUGAUGAGAGUGGAAAAGGCUAUGCAGAGUCUGUGAAAGACAGAUUCUCCAUCUCCAGAGACAAUUCUGAGAACUUAUUGUAUCUACAAAUGAACAGUCUGAGAAACGAAGACACGGCUCUGUAUUAUUGUGCCAGAGA